UACGAAGGGGGCUAGCGUUGCUCGGAAUUACUGGGCGUAAAGCGCACGUAGGCGGCUUUCUAAGUCGGGGGUGAAAUCCUGGAGCUCAACUCCAGAACUGCCUUCGAUACUGGAGAGCUUGAGUCCGGGAGAGGUAAGUGGAACUGCGAGUGUAGAGGUGAAAUUCGUAGAUAUUCGCAAGAACACCAGUGGCGAAGGCGGCUCACUGGCCCGGUACUGACGCUGAGGUGCGAAAGCGUGGGGAGCAAACGGGG
rnacentral:rRNA from 1 species